UACGUAGGGACCGAGCGUUGUCCGGAAUCAUUGGGCGUAAAGAGCGUGUAGGCGGCUCGCUAAGUCUUGCGUGAAAUCUCGGGGCUCAACCCCGAGCGGUCGUGAGAAACUGGCGGGCUAGAGUGCGGGAGAGGAGAGUGGAAUUCCUGGUGUAGCGGUGAAAUGCGCAGAUAUCAGGAAGAACACCCGUGGCGAAGGCGGCUCUCUGGAACGCAACUGACGCUGAGACGCGAAAGCGUGGGGGGCGAACAGG
rnacentral:rRNA from 1 species